AGGGGCAUCAUGAAAAGGGCAUUA
rnacentral:siRNA from 1 species